AUUGAACGCUGGCGGCAGGCCUAAUACAUGCAAGUCGAACGGUAACAUAAGAAAGCUUGCUUUCUUGAUGACGAGUGGCGGACGGGUGAGUAAUAUUUGGGAAGCUACCUGAUAGAGGGGGACAACAGUUGGAAACGACUGCUAAUACCGCAUACAGCCUGAGGGUGAAAGCAGCAAUGCGCUAUCAGAUGCGCCCAAACGGGAUUAGCUAGUAGGUGAGGUAAAGGCUCACCUAGGCGACGAUCUCUAGCUGGUCUGAGAGGAUGAUCAGCCACAUUGGGACUGAGACACGGCCCAGACUCCUACGGGAGGCAGCAGUAGGGAAUAUUGCACAAUGGGGGAAACCCUGAUGCAGCAACGCCGCGUGAGUGAAGAAGUAUUUCGGUAUGUAAAGCUCUAUCAGCAGGGAAGAUAAUGACAGUACCUGACCAAGAAGCCCCGGGCUAACUACGUG
rnacentral:rRNA from 1 species